rnacentral:rRNA from 1 species
GGGGAAUUUUGCGCAAUGGGGGCAACCCUGACGCAGCAACGCCGCGUGAGUGAUGAAGGCUUUCGGGUCGUAAAGCUCUGUCGGGAGGGACGAAGUGUACGGUGGUUAAUACCCAUUGUACUUGACGGUACCUCCGAAGGAAGCACCGGCUAACUCCGUGCCAGCAGCCGCGGUAAUACGGAGGGUGCAAGCGUUGUUCGGAUUUAUUGGGCGUAAAGCGCGUGUAGGCGGUUUGGUAAGUCUGAUGUGAAAGCCCCGGGCUCAACCUGGGAAGUGCAUUGGAAACUGUCAGACUUGAAUACGGGAGAGGGUAGUGGAAUUCCUAGUGUAGGAGUGAAAUCCGUAGAUAUUAGGAGGAACACCGGUGGCGAAGGCGGCUACCUGGACCGAUAUUGACGCUGAGACGCGAAAGCGUGGGGAGCAAAC